rnacentral:rRNA from 1 species
GAGGGUUUCCAUACACACCGUGAACUGUGGCUUCGGCCAUCACAAACUGUUAGUAAUGAAUGUAAUAUCAUAACAAAAACAAAACUUUUAACAACGGAUCUCUUGGCUCUCGCAUCGAUGAAGAACGCAGCGAAAUGCGAUAAGUAAUGUGAAUUGCAGAAUUCAGUGAAUCAUCGAAUCUUUGAACGCACCUUGCGCCCUUUGGUAUUCCGAAGGGCAUGCCUGUUUGAGUGUCAUGAAACCUCACCCCACUUGGGUUUUUGCCUGAGCGGUGGUGUAUUGGGUGUUGCCUUGCUAAAGGCUCGCCUUAAAGACAUAAGCACCUUGGAUGUAAUACGUUUCAUCCUUCUGGGUGGCUGAUAACCCCACAUAUUCAUGAUCUGGCCUCAAAUCAGGUAGGGCUACCCGCUGAACUUAAGCAUAUCAAU